UUUCCCAUCGUGCUGAGGCGGGUGGCAUGGCGGAGAAGGAUGACACCGGAGUUUGACGAAGAGGUGGUUUUUGAGAAUUCUCCACUUUACCAAUACUUACAGGAUCUGGGACACACAGACUUUGAAAUAUGUUCUUCUUUGUCACCAAAAACAGAAAAAUGCACAACAGAGGGACAACAAAAGCCUCCUACAAGAGUCCUACCAAAAUACCUGGGAUAUAGUAAUCACUCAAUGAAUAUAAACUGCACUUACUGGCAUGCUCAAGGAAUGGGCUAUUAAGGUAUCCUGUUAAAAGUGGCUGAAACCAUCAAAAGUUGGAUUUUUUUUUCUCAGUGCAAUAAGAAAGAUGACUUACUUCACAAGUUGGAUAUUGGAUUCCGACUCGACUCAUUACAUACCAUCCUGCAACAGGAAGUCCUGUUACAAGAGGAUGUGGAGCUGAUUGAGCUACUUGAUCCCAGUAUCCUGUCUGCAGGGCAAUCUCAACAACAGGAAAAUGGACACCUUCCAACACUUUGCUCCCUGGCAACCCCUAAUAUUUG
rnacentral:lncRNA from 10 species